AAGUUUUCUCCAACUGCCCACUGGUUCCACAGUAAUGGUGAUUUAUAAAGUAGGGGAUAAAACCCCUACCGCCGAUCAUGAAACCUGGAACACCCACUAGUAGGCAGUAGGGACCAGGUUGACUACCACUGUUGUCUAGGAUAUAACAA